rnacentral:rRNA from 1 species
GAUCAUGGCUCAGGAUGAACGCUAGCUACAGGCUUAACACAUGCAAGUCGAGGGGCAGCAUUUUAGUUUGCUUGCAAACUAAAGAUGGCGACCGGCGCACGGGUGAGUAACACGUAUCCAACCUGCCGAUAACUCUGGGGUAGCCUUUCGAAAGAAAGAUUAAUACCGGAUGGCAUAGGAUUACCGCAUGAUAAUCCUAUUAAAGAAUUUCGGUUAUCGAUGGGGAUGCGUUCCAUUAGG